AGGGUGUAAACGCUGCAGACUUGGUGUUGGGAACCCUUCGGGGGUGCUCAGUGCCGGAGAGAAGUUGUUAAGUCUGCUACUUGGGGAGUACGUCCGCAAGGAUGAAACUUAAAGGAAUUGGCGGGGGGAGCACCGCAACGGGAGGAGCGUGCGGUUUAAUUGGAUUCAACACCGUAAAACUCACCAGGGAAGACUGUUACAUGAAGGCCGAGAUGAAGACUCUGCCAGAUUUUCAGAGAGGAGGUGCAUGGCGUCAGUGACU
rnacentral:rRNA from 1 species